CCUCAUCCUGUGUGGCUCCCUCGAUUGAUCCCAAAUCCCCAAUUAAUCCCACCGCCGCCUAGAGCACAAGAGCGGGCAGCGGCAGCCUGCGAACGCCAAGUACGGCGUGACCAGCCAGGUGGGCCGGUAGAGGAGUGCCGAGGUGCGCAGCCCCGGCCGGAUUAGUUACUUUGUUUCUCAAUUCAGAUUGUUAACGGAUGCGAGAUGCAAAUCCAGAUUGUUAUCCAGGACGAUUGGACGAAGAGGGAGCAAAUCUAUGAGUGAAAAGGAUAAGGGAAGGGAAGG
rnacentral:lncRNA from 1 species